AACUUUCAGCAACGGAUCUCUUGGCUCUCGCAUCGAUGAAGAACGCAGCGAAAUGCGAUAAGUAAUGUGAAUUGCAGAAUUCAGUGAAUCAUCGAAUCUUUGAACGCACCUUGCGCUCCUUGGUAUUCUGAGGAGCAUGCCUGUUUGAGUGUCAUU
rnacentral:rRNA from 1 species